AGCGAACGCUAGCGGCGGGCCUAACACAUGCAAGUCGAGCGGGGAGCAAUCCCAGCGGCGAACGGGUGAGUAACACGUAGGUAAUGUGCCUUUUGGUGGGGAAUAACCGUGGGAAACCAUGGCUAAUACCGCAUAUCGUGCUUCGGCAUGAAAGCUUCUGAGGCAACUCGGGGGCGCCAGUUGAGCAGCCUGCGUCCCAUUAUUUAGUCCUAGUUGGUAGGGUAAUGGCCUACCAAGGGUACGAUGGGUAGCUGGUCUGAGAGGAUGAUCAGCCACACUGGAACUGAGACACGGUCCAGACUCCUACGGGAGGCAGCAGUGGGGGAAUUUUGGACAAUGGGGGCAACCCUGAUCCAGCCAUGCCGCGUGCGGGAAGAAGGCC
rnacentral:rRNA from 1 species